AGUUGAUCAUGGCUCAGGAUGAACGCUAGCGGCAGGCCUAACACAUGCAAGUCGAGGGGUAGAACACUUCGGUGUUUGAGACCGGCGCACGGGUGCGUAACGCGUAUGCAAUCUACCUUGUACAGGGGAAUAGCCCAGAGAAAUUUGGAUUAAUGCCCCAUAGUGUUAUCGAAUCGCAUGGUUUGAUAACUAAAGUUCCAACGGUAUAAGAUGAGCAUGCGUCCCAUUAGUUAGUUGGUAAGGUAACGGCUUACCAAGACAAUGAUGGGUAGGGGUCCUGAGAGGGAGAUCCCCCACACUGGUACUGAGACACGGACCAGACUCCUACGGGAGGCAGCAGUGAGGAAUAUUGGUCAAUGGGCGCAAGCCUGAACCAGCCAUGCCGCGUGCAGGAAGACGGUCCUAUGGAUUGUAAACUGCUUUUAUACAGGAAGAAACCCUCCCACGUGUGGGAGCUUGACGGUACUGUAGGAAUAAGGAUCGGCUAACUCCGUG
rnacentral:rRNA from 1 species